rnacentral:rRNA from 1 species
CGACCUGCGCCACUGGCACUGAGAACUGGCCAGACACCUACGGGUGGCUGCAGUCGAGGAUCUUCGGCAAUGGGCGCAAGCCUGACCGAGCGACGCCGCGUGCGGGAUGAAGGCCUUCGGGUUGUAAACCGCUGUCGUAGGGGAUGAAACGCUAGUGAGUUAUCUCAUUAGUUUGACUGAACCUAGGAGGAAGGGCCGGCUAAUCUCGUGCCAGCAGCCGCGGUAAUACGAGAGGCCCAAACGUUAUUCGGAUUUACUGGGCUUAAAGAGUUCGUAGGCGGCACGGACAGUGGGGUGUGAAAUCCCUCGGCUUAACCGAGGAACUGCGCUCCAAACUAUCGUGCUAGAGGGGGAUAGAGGUAAGCGGAACUGAUGGUGGAGCGGUGAAAUGCGUUGAUAUCAUCAGGAACACCGGAGGCGAAGGCGGCUUACUGGGUCCUUUCUGACGCUGAGGAACGAAAGCUAGGGGAGCAAACAGGAUUAGAUACCCUGGUAGUCCACGCCCUAAACGAUGCGAACUGGAUGUUGGGCUCAACUUGGAGCUCAGUAUCGAAGCUAACGCGUUAAGUUCGCCGCCUGGGGAGUACGGUCGCAAGACUGAAACUCAAAGGAAUUGACGGGGGCCCGCACAAGCGGUGGAGUAUGUGGUUUAAUUCGAUGCAACGCGAAGAACCUUACCUGGCC